AAGGAAUCAAGGAUGAUAUAUCUAUUGAAACAAGUUUAUUCACCAGUUACACAGACUAGGAAAAAUCAAAACCUCGUCCCGUGACAACUAUAAGAGACUGUAUUUGAUGAAGAUUGAAAAGUCCACAUCAUCUUCCUCUCCCUCCCCCUGUGCUUUCUGGAUUUCUUGGGAAAUUUACACCAAUAGCCAUAAAAAUUUACGCGUUUUCCAUCUUAACCACUCAAAUAAACUUCUAUCAACAUUAGCCAUAAAAAAGCCUUUGAGACCAAAAUACCCCUUUCUCCCCCAACAAUCUCUCUUUCUCCCAUCUCUCCCAAACCGAAGAACCUCCCAUCGUCGGCGGCCGUCGCUGGGCAACAGCAGUGAUCUUCCUGACAAGGCUUGGCCUUAACCUAGAGAUCGUGAUCCUUGGAUGCCUGCGGAAGGCACGAAGAUGAAGACCAGACCAUGGUCUGGACGCUGGCCCUUGUAUGGGGUGAUGGAGAAGGUGAAAGAUGUUUCAAAUGAUCAACGGUUGAUGAGUUUGUAUGUUUUAAGGGGAUCUUAGCAUGUUAGAGAGCUCUUCCGAUGGAGAAGGUGGUAUCUUGGGUGAGUGAAAUGGCACCGGAAUCCAGUUUUGCGUUGCCAUAAAGCAACAGUUUUGAAGUGUUGAACCUGGAGAUCGUGAUCCUUAAGCAUCUGGUACACAUUGCCUGACAGGACAACCAUUUUUGGUGCGACAGGCAGCCUGUCGCACCAAGCUUCGGAAACAGGUCGGCUUGUAUCGCAUCCUCUUUUCUGUCAUUGCUGAACCCUUUUGAGAUCAUUUAGCGCAACUGCAACUCUGUAAACAUGCAUUUGUUAUUCCAGAUAUUUGUGCAUGUAAUCCCUGGAGUUUAUACAGCAACAGAAAAUGCAUGCAAUCAACCACCGUUUCCAGAUAUUUGUGCAUGAUUACGCGGUUUCCAAAAAUUCCGGCUUCUUUGUUGCAUUGGCUAUCAACUGACAUUUGUUUUGCUAAUUUUUAAGAAACACUAGACUCUGUAUCAAACUGACUCUUGUUUUUUCAAAUCUCUCUUUACAUGCAUGUGUUGAUUGAUAAAGAAGCCAUGGUAUAUAACUAUAAAGAAUUCAAGGCUUCAUAUAUUGGUACGGCGGAGGAAUCAUCUUUCUCCCUUGGCAACCUAGAAAGCAAUGAAUUUUCUGUCAUGAUACAUUGAACUUUUUCAUUUUUUUUUUAAAUAAAUAAAUCCAAGUUAAAACGUAUUGCACUUGCCUUCAAACCCUCUGAGACUAACAUGAAAUCGCGUGGGGCCUCUUACACAUAAAGUUCGUUCAACACAUAUAAUAUUGGAAAGUGAAAAUUGGGUUCAACUGGCUAUGGGCUCACGUCAUACAUAAUUCUCAAGUUUGUUUUUUUUUUAAAUUGGUGCCUGUCGCACCAAGCAAGGUGCGACAGGUGCCUGUCGCACCAACUCUUGGUGCGAC
rnacentral:lncRNA from 1 species